rnacentral:rRNA from 1 species
AGCUCCAUUAGUGUAUAUUAAAGUUGUUGCGGUUAAAAAGCUCGUAGUUGGAUUUCUGUGGGGUAUCGUGGGGUCUGCUUUUCGAGUAUGUAUCUCUACCGAUCUCUGCAUCCUCGUAACGCUCUGUGGCAUUAAUUUGUUGCUUGGCUUACGACUUUUACUUUGAGGAAAUUAGAGUGUUCACGGCAGGCAUUUGCUUUGAAUAUAUUAGCAUGGAAUAAUAACAUAGGACUUCGGUUUUAUUUUGUUGGUUUCUAAGGCUGAAGUAAUGAUUAAUAGGGACAAUUGGGGGCACUCGUACAAACUCGUCAGAGGUGGAAUUCUUGGAUUGAGUUUUGACGAACUACUGCGAAAGCAUUUGCCAAGGAUGUUUUCA